rnacentral:rRNA from 1 species
AGAUACCCCUGUAGUCCCAGCCGUAAACUAUGCUCGCUAGGUUGUCAGGCAUGGCGCGACCGUGUCUGGUGCCGCAGGGAAGCCGUGAAGCGAGCCACCUGGGAAGUACGGCCGCAAGGCUGAAACUUAAAGGAAUUGGCGGGGAGCACCACAACGGGUGGAGCCUGCGGUUUAAUUGGACUCAACGCCGGGAAGCUCACCGGAUAAGACAGCGGAAUGAUUGCCGGGCUGAAGACUCUGCAUGACUAGCUG